GAAACGCAGUUCUACAAAGCUCUACCAGCGCCAGUUAAAAGCAUCGGACUCCACCUGGUAAUUCCAACGAAAAGCUGCAGGCUGCCCGGAAGCUCAGCCCUACAAAGGAUUCUGGGACAUGUAGUCCCGACGCUCCCUGCGUAUGCUCGACUGUGUCACCCCUUCCGCGCGGGAUUCUGGGAAAUGUAAUCCAGGUGUUCCGCGCAAUAAAAGGCGGUUCUGAUGCGGGAGUGUGGACUCGCGGCCUUCUUUCCUCUCCGGCGGGCUGCUUGGACCUCAUCACAUUCUUCUCAGAGUGCCCAGCAUGAAUUGGCAGAAAGGAGUUAUUCAGUGAUUGUGCCUUCCCAAGACUCUGCCCUUUCCCAGAAGGAGGAGAACAAAAUGACCAAGUUCAAGGUGAGUCAGGCUUGCCUUUUUAGGUUUUAAAUUGCCAUCUCAUUUUUCAAAGACCAGAUAUAUCUUA
rnacentral:lncRNA from 1 species